CAUAUCAAUAAGCGGAGGAAAAGAAACCAACAGGGAUUGCCCCAGUAACGGCGAGUGAAGCGGCAACAGCUCAAAUUUGAAAUCUGGCCCCCCCGCGGGCCCGAGUUGUAAUUUGCAGAGGAUGCUUUUGGCGCGGCGCCUUCCGAGUGCCCUGGAACGGGACGCCAUAGAGGGUGAGAGCCCCGUCUGGUCGGACGCCCAGCCUCUGUAAAGCUCCUUCGACGAGUCGAGUAGUUUGGGAAUGCUGCUCUAAACGGGAGGUAUAUGUCUUCUAAAGCUAAAUACCGGCCAGAGACCGAUAGCGCACAAGUAGAGUGAUCGAAAGAUGAAAAGCACUUUGAAAAGAGGGUUAAACAGUACGUGAAAUUGUUGAAAGGGAAGCGCUUGUGACCAGACUCGGGCGCGGCGAAUCACCCGGCGUUCUCGCCGGUGCACUUCGACGCGCCCGGGCCAGCAUCAGCUCGCCGCGGGGGACAAAGGCGCCGGGAACGUGGCUCCCCAGGGAGUGUUAUAGCCCGGCGCGCAACGCCCCGCGGCGGUCUGAGGUUCGCGCGUCCGCAAGGAUGCUGGCGUAAUGGUCACCAGUGACCCGUCUUGAAACACGGACCAAGGAGUCGUCCUCGUAUGCGAGUGUUCGGGUGUCAAACCCCUACGCGCAAUGAAAGUGAACGCGGGUGAGAGCCUCGCGGCGCAUCAUCGACCGAUCCUGAUGUUCUCGGAUGGAUUUGAGUAGGAGCAUACGGGGCCGGACCCGAAAGAAGGUGAACUAUGCCUGUGUAGGGUGAAGCCAGAGGAAACUCUGGUGGAGGCUCGCAGCGGUUCUGACGUGCAAAUCGAUCGUCAAACAUGGGCAUGGGGGCGAAAGACUAAUCGAACCUUCUAGUAGCUGGUUUCCGCCGAAGUUUCCCUCAGGAUAGCAGUGUUGAUCUCAGUUUUAUGAGGUAAAGCGAAUGAUUAGGGACCCGGGGGCGCUCUUCAGCCUUCAUCCAUUCUCAAACUUUAAAUAUGUAAGAAGCCCUUGUUGCUUGGUUGAACGUGGGCAUUCGAAUGUAUCAACACUAGUGGGCCAUUUUUGGUAAGCAGAACUGGCGAUGCGGGAUGAACCGAACGCGAGGUUAAGGUGCCGGAGUGGACGCUCAUCAGACACCACAAAAGGCGUUAGUACAUCUUGACAGCAGGACGGUGGCCAUGGAAGUCGGAACCCGCCAAGGACUGUGUAACAACUCACCUGCCGAAUGUACUAGCCCUGAAAAUGGAUGGCGCUCAAGCGUCCCACCCAUACCUCGCCCUCAGGGUAGAAGCGAUGCCCUGAGGAGUAGGCGGACGUGGGGGUCCGUGACGAAGCCCAGGGCGCGAGCCCGGGUCGAACGGCCUCCAGUGCAGAUCUUGGUGGUAGUAGCAAAUACUUCAAUGAGAACUUGA
rnacentral:rRNA from 1 species